rnacentral:rRNA from 1 species
GACGAACGCUGGCGGCGUGCUUAACACAUGCAAGUCGAACGGUGAAGCGCCUUCCUUUUUGGUGGGUGUGGAUGAGUGGCGAACGGGUGAGUAACACGUGAGUAACCUGCCCCCUUCUUCUGGAUAACCGCAUGAAAGUGUGGCUAAUACGGGAUAUUCUGGGUCUGUCGCAUGAUGGGUCUGGGAAAGAUAUUGUUUCGGUGGGGGAUGGGCUCGCGGCCUAUCAGCUUGUUGGUGGGGUGAUGGCCUACCAAGGCGGUGACGGGUAGCCGGCCUGAGAGGGGGGCGGGCCACACUGGAACGGGACGCCGGCCAGGCCUCCUACGGGAGGCGGCAGGGGGGAAUAUGGCACAAUGGGCUGAGGCCUGAUGCGACGACGCCGCGGGAGGGAUGGAGGCCUUCGGUUUGUGAACCUCUUUCGCCAGUGAAGAAGGCCUGCCUCGUUUGUGGGUGGGUUGACGGUAGCUGGAAAAGAAGCGCCGGCUAACUACGUG